UACGUAGGGUGCGAGCGUUAAUCGGAAUUACUGGGCGUAAAGCGUGCGCAGGCGGUUUUGUAAGCCAGAUGUGAAAUCCCCGGGCUUAACCUGGGAAUGGCAUUUGGGACUGCAAGGCUGGAGUUUGGCAGAGGAGACUGGAAUUCCUGGUGUAGCAGUGAAAUGCGUAGAUAUCAGGAGGAAUACCGAUGGCGAAGGCAGGUCUCUGGGCUAUAACUGACGCUCAU
rnacentral:rRNA from 1 species